GACGAACGCUGGCGGCGUGCUUAAUACAUGCAAGUCGAACGGAAAGGCCCUGCUUUUGUGGGGUGCUCGAGUGGCGAACGGGUGAGUAACACGUGAGUAACCUGCCCUUGACUUUGGGAUAACUUCAGGAAACUGGGGCUAAUACCGGAUAGGAGCUCCUGCUGCAUGGUGGGGGUUGGAAAGUUUCGGCGGUUGGGGAUGGACUCGCGGCUUAUCAGCUUGUUGGUGGGGUAGUGGCUUACCAAGGCUUUGACGGGUAGCCGGCCUGAGAGGGUGACCGGCCGCAUGGGGCGUGCGAGAGGGCCCAGAAUCAUACGGGGGGCAGCGGGGGGAAGUCUGACAGAGGGGGGGAGCGCCAGAGCGCGCGACGCCCGGAGAGGAAUAAGGUGUUAGGGGUGAAAAACCAUUUUCGCCGGAGCCAGGCGGGGGGUGACGGUAAUGGAAAAGAAAGCCCCGGCUAACUACGUG
rnacentral:rRNA from 1 species